CAGGGACACACCCCACUUCUUACCGGCAAGUCACGAGCAGAGCGAAAAGCCAACUCAACAAAAGAUCAUGGGAUCGUGUCAAGUGGUGAUCGAGUACUGCGGCGGAUGAGGGUACGAGCCCCGGUACCGGAAGCUACAGGAACUGAUCCAGUCCAAUGUACCCGGUGCCGAGGUUCAAGGAUUCAUCGGCAGAACCAGCUCCUUCGAGGUGAGAAUCAACGAGCGGCUAGUCUACUCCAAGCUGCAGGAAAAGUCGCUCCCCAACUUCGAGGAGGUAGUUGCUGUGGUGAAGGACGUGUCGGACGGCCGGCCGAUCCGGCAGGUGGGGGAGAGGCAGUCUUCCGCGUGCGACAUCGUGUAAGGCAGCCGCGGUCCCCGCACCAUCCGUCCAAUCGGCCCACGCGGUCGGCCGCCCCCUGACUACGUCCAGAGGGAACGAUUACGCAUCCGCCCGUCACGCCAUCCGGACACAUCUCGGCUUCAGCAGCGGGCUGCAGUACUGCUUCGCUGUUUGCAUUAUGCCACGUUGGGCACCCGCGGAGUUAACUAGCCCGCAAAUGAUGUUUGGCAGGCCUUGUCUCAUUAGCGUCACGUGGCAAGAGGAAUUUUCACUACUAUCACUGCUGGAGGUGCGCACCUGCUCGCAAUUUCGUCCGAGUUGAGCUAGAGAUACGAAGCAAAAAGUUAAUGACAGCCUGGUGUGUAAGAAGUUGGGCAAUGUUUUUUUCGCCUUCUGGAGGCGAUCAAUGACCCUCCAGGCUACGUCCACCACUUGAAAAAACUGUGCCACCUCGAAGCAUAAAACGACCUGUUUAGAGACAAUCAGAUGCACGGUCGCGUUUUAGGGCUCAGUGCAAACAAGUGACUUAUAACUGGUGUAAGUGUGUACUAGAUCGUCGUAGGCUGUUAACCUAGCUCACUCUUGAAAAGGUCAUUUAUUAUUGAAAUGUAACCUUAUGUCUGCAGAUCGUCAUCCGAUAGUUUUUUAUGGCCAGAAAUGCCAUUUUUACCAUUGAACAGCAAAAGCUAACGUAUGUUGGUAAAAUUUGUUCUGUUAAUCUUAAGAGAUGACGUGCCGGCCAUGUGGCCUGAUGUGACCUCGCAUUUCAUUUGUUUUAAAUGGCGUACGCAAUCGACAACGCCAAAUUUUACGCCGCUGCCAUUGGUCGUUUUCCCUGCCCGGAAUUAUGCUGAUUAUGGAAAUAUUUCGUCUAGCGAGGAUCAAAAUACCCCUGUUCUACCCAAAGCGAGGGGCACGCGAUAUGGGGACAUUGUAUCGUUAAUUUAGCUUCAUGGCUGGGUUCCUUUGAAAUUCGUUGCAACUGUGUCACGCAUUUCUGUGCUCCAAAAGUGUAAUUGACCGACAUUCUACGACGCUCCUUUAUCCAGAGGGCAUGGUUUACCGUCUUAGCUGUGAGCCAAAGACAGAGCUGACUACCCGUGAUGGGUUAAGAACCAAUUUGGAUGAAAGAAGUGUGACAUACGCUUGACUGGUGGUUCUCAGACUGCAAAAUGCGUAAAAGGAAUUUAGUAAUUGUUGGGAACUGGCAGAUGGUCUUUCGUUUUAAUUUGAAUCGCGACUACCUUGCCACUUGAGAGACGCUUUUUGGGUGCAUGCUUUGGCACGUUGAAAAAUGUUUUGAUUAAUCGCCUGCUCAGAUUUUCUCAACGCACGGAAAAGGGCCCAAUCGCUCCACCCGUGAAUCCCAUUGUCUAUAAUAAGUCAUCAAGUUUCCAUUGCUUUGUGGCCUCGAAUGCUUUAAAGAUCAUAGGGGUACUUAUCACCCAGUUCUUUGCGUAACAACAGGACCGUUACACUAGUAAUAAACUGAGCGUAUACGUCUACCAAGUGUCAUGGCUCUCAACUAUGAGCUCGAUUUUCUCCACUAUUUUGUAUCGCCAGCUUUACUGCAGAUGUAACGAAACUGAAGCUUCUUGGCUUGUGAGAAUACCGUCGAUAUGCUUAUUAAAGAUACCGGUGUGCUGAAAAUGGACCGAAAGUCAAAUUCACAGUGGGCUGAUUUUUCUGGCGGAUUUUCUUUUCCAGCAGCCUCCCUCCAUAUGUUGCAAUGGUAUUUCGAACUGUAUGACUUCACAUGUCUUUUGUCCACAGCAGUUGUCCAUAGCGUUAAAAUGGAAGGCAACGUACGGAAGUGGCAGCGUGUAGGUUUUAUGAUUUAGCGGGCUGAAACAACUUGCGUUUGCAACGUUGUAAACUAAAGUUAUCUUGGACGUCUAGCAAAGACGGUUUUUGGUUAAGUUCCAUAUAUUCUCCCAUCACCACGGGGGAGUACUUUUACACUGGUUGUACAGAAAAAUGCAAUAAGAAUACUUUUAUUGUCGCUACCCAUAUUAUGUGCUUCAUGGUACCAUUUAGGCUUAUAAUGUCAUGCUACUUACGUGUGCGAUCUUCGUUGUUUUGCAUACCUGCUAUUUAAUUAUGAUGCAUUGCUUUUACGUCAGCAUUACAUAACAUUGCAGUUAUGUAUUACGAUAUGCUUAUCCAUAGAUAUUUACAUUAUGCUACUGCUAUUGAUCCUUGAACACUCACCGACACUACGUGUCCGCGGACGGUCGUGUGCACCACGGUGUCCUAUGUUCUGGGUGGGACGCCGAUGUCUGAUGCCCGCUGUUGACGUCCGUUGGAAAAGCCGAGUGUGGGCUGCCAUGUCUGUCGAGGCUAUGUUACGCUACAUGAACUUAUGUUGACGCACAUGCAUUGGGGUCGUGCCUCUGUAGGAGAUUGGACAGGAUGUCAGGGAUGGGCCACGUAGGCUAAUGUUGACGCACAUGCAUUGGGGUCGUGCUUCCGUAGGAGAUCUGACAGAGAUGCCACGCCGAUGGCUGACUUGUGUCCAGCUUAAGGUUGCUCUUUCGGGACUUCGCCUCCCGCCUGGUAUUAAUCGGUACAUUUGACCUGGUAUUAUGUCGCUAACUGAUUAGCACUCACCUCAUGCCGUCUUCAAGUAAAUAAUGUAAGAUUCAGUGGGCAAAGCCGGGAAAUGAGGCCGGAGAAGCAACGAAGAAUUACAACCUUGUCAGAAGGCCUUUAUCGGGACUGAUUAUAGGGUGUGUUACAUAUUUUGGGUGCUCGGAGGCCCAGGGUACAGAUGACAUGCCGUCCAAACCCACAGCAAGAAACACCAGUCCGCACUGCUCAGCAUAGUCAUACGUAGCCACCGUGUAGUGCUCGGGCGCGGUAUUUCCCCGCUGCCCAGUGAAGUGUAUUCCCAUGUCCCGCGUAGCGUGGUGCCCCGGUGCUGUGUCCGUCCGUAGCUGAGCACUGCGAUCGCCUGGCAAAUGGACCGGCCUCGUCUCGGGCGGCGUGUCACGUGACCGGCGCCAGGUCGCUGUAUGACCGGCGGGCCUGAAACUAACCGGGGACCGCCGCGAGAUCACGCGACAGGCCCCGGUCACGUGAUGUCCCACCUGUGAUUGCUGGUAUCUACAGAGACUGCUGUUUAAAUUGUGUCCUUGAAUCGUGCAAUCUGUACUUCGCUC
rnacentral:lncRNA from 1 species